CCUAGCUUGCUGGGUGGAUUAGUGGCGAACGGGUGAGUAACACGUGAGUAACCUGCCCUUGACUCUGGGAUAAGCACUGGAAACGGUGUCUAAUACCGGAUAUUUCAACUGGCCGCAUGGUCUGGUUGUGGAAAGAAUUUUGGUCAAGGAUGGACUCGCGGCCUAUCAGGUAGUUGGUGAGGUAAUGGCUCACCAAGCCUACGACGGGUAGCCGGCCUGAGAGGGUGACCGGCCACACUGGGACUGAGACACGGCCCAGACUCCUACGGGAGGCAGCAGUGGGGAAUAUUGCACAAUGGGCGAAAGCCUGAUGCAGCAACGCCGCGUGAGGGACGACGGCCUUCGGGUUGUAAACCUCUUUUAGUAGGGAAGAAGCGAAAGUGACGGUACCUGCAGAAAAAGCACCGGCUAACUACGUGCCAGCAGCCGCGGUAAUACGUAGGGUGCAAGCGUUGUCCGGAAUUAUUGGGCGUAAAGAGCUCGUAGGCGGUUUGUCGCGUCUGCUGUGAAAACUGGAGGCUCAACCUCCAGCCUGCAGUGGGUACGGGCAGACUAGAGUGCGGUAGGGGAGAUUGGAAUUCCUGGUGUAGCGGUGGAAUGCGCAGAUAUCAGGAGGAACACCGAUGGCGAAGGCAGAUCUCUGGGCCGUAACUGACGCUGAGGAGCGAAAGCAUGGGGAGCGAACAGGAUUAGAUACCCUGGUAGUCCAUGCCGUAAACGUUGGGAACUAGAUGUGGGGGCCAUUCCACGGUCUCCGUGUCGCAGCUAACGCAUUAAGUUCCCCGCCUGGGGAGUACGGCCGCAAGGCUAAAACUCAAAGGAAUUGACGGGGGCCCGCACAAGCGGCGGAGCAUGCGGAUUAAUUCGAUGCAACGCGAAGAACCUUACCAAGGCUUGACAUAUACGAGAACGGGCCAGAAAUGGUCAACUCUUUGGACACUCGUAAACAGGUGGUGCAUGGUUGUCGUCAGCUCGUGUCGUGAGAUGUUGGGUUAAGUCCCGCAACGAGCGCAACCCUCGUUCUAUGUUGCCAGCACGUUAUGGUGGGAACUCAUAGGAGACUGCCGGGGUCAACUCGGAGGAAGGUGGGGAUGACGUCAAAUCAUCAUGCCCCUUAUGUCUUGGGCUUCACGCAUGCUACAAUGGCCGGUACAAAGGGCUGCAAUACCGUAAGGUGGAGCGAAUCCCAAAAAGCCGGUCUCAGUUCGGAUUGAGGUCUGCAACUCGACCUCAUGAAGUCGGAGUCGCUAGUAAUCGCAGAUCAGCAACGCUGCGGUGAAUACGUUCCCGGGCCUUGUACACACCGCCCGUCAAGUCAUGAAAGUCGGUAACACCCAACGCCAGUGGC
rnacentral:rRNA from 1 species